CCUACGGGAGGCAGCAGUGAGGAAUAUUGGUCAAUGGACGCAAGUCUGAACCAGCCAUGCCGCGUGCAGGAUGACUGCUCUAUGAGUUGUAAACUGCUUUUGUACGAGGGUAAACCGCGAUACGUGUAUCGGGUUGAAAGUAUCUUAUGAAUAAGGAUCGGCUAACUCCGUGCCAGCAGCCGCGGUAAUACGGAGGAUCCGAGCGUUAUCCGGAUUUAUUGGGUUUAAAGGGUGCGUAGGCGGUUUGUUAAGUUAGAGGUGAAAUGUCGGGGCUCAACCCCAAAACUGCCUCUAAUACUGUUAGACUAGAGAAUAGUUGCGGUAGGCGGAAUGUAUGGUGUAGCGGUGAAAUGCUUAGAGAUCAUAAAGAACACCGAUUGCGAAGGCAGCUUACCAAACUAUAUCUGACGUUGAGGCACGAAAGCGUGGGUAGCAAACAGGAUUAGAUACCCUUGUAGUC
rnacentral:rRNA from 1 species